rnacentral:rRNA from 1 species
CAAUAGCGUAUAUUAAAGUUGUUGCGGUUAAAAAGCUCGUAGUUGGAUUUCUGCUGAGGACGAUCGGUCCGCCCACUGGGUGAGUAUCUGGCUCGGCCUUGGCAUCUUCUUGGAGAACGUUGCUGCACUUGACUGUGUGGUGCGGUAUCCAGGACUUUUACUUUGAGGAAAUUAGAGUGUUUCAAGCAGGCGCACGCCUUGAAUACAUUAGCAUGGAAUAAUAAGAUAGGACCUUGGUUCUAUUUUGUUGGUUUCUAGAGCUGAGGUAAUGAUUAAUAGGGAUAGUUGGGGGCAUUCGUAUUUAACUGUCAGAGGUGAAAUUCUUAGAUUUGUUAAAGACGGACUACUGCGAAAGCAUUUGCCAAGGAUGUUUUCAUUGA